UACAGAGGGUGCAAGCGUUGUUCGGAAUUAUUGGGCGUAAAGCGCGUGUAGGCGGCUUUGCAAGUCGGGUGUGAAAGCCCUGGGCUCAACCCAGGAAGUGCGCCCGAAACUGCAUUGCUUGAGUACCGGAGAGGGUGGCGGAAUUCCCCAAGUAGAGGUGAAAUUCGUAGAUAUGGGGAGGAACACCGGUGGCGAAGGCGGCAUCCUGGACCAACACUGACGCUGAGUGAGCGAAAGCCAGGGGAGCAAACGGG
rnacentral:rRNA from 1 species